UUCCGGUUGAUCCUGCCGGACCUGACUGCUAUCGGAUUGAUACUAAGCCAUGCGAGUCUUUGUAGCAAUACAAGGCAGACGGCUCAGUAACACGUAGUCAAUCUAACCUAUGGACGAGGAUAACCUCGGGAAACUGAGAAUAAUACUCGAUAGAUCAUAAUGCCUGGAACGGUUUAUGGUUCAAAUGAAUUUCGCCAUAGGGUGGGACUGCGGUCUAUCAGCUUGUUGGUGAGGUAAUGGCCCACCAAGGCUAUAACAGAUACGGGCUCUGAGAGGAGAAGCCCGGAGAUGGGUACUGAGACACGGACCCAGGCCCUAUGGGGCGCAGCAGGCGAGAAAACUUUGCAAUGUGCGAAAGCACGACAAGGUUAAUCCGAGUGGUUCCUGCUAAAGGAACCUUUUGUUAGUUGUAACACCACUGAUGAAUAAGGGGUGGGCAAGUUCUGGUGUCAGCCGCCGCGGUAAAACCAGCACCUCAAGUGGUCAGGAGGAUUAUUGGGCCUAAAGCAUCCGUAGCCGGCUCUGUAAGUUUUCGGUUAAAUCUAUAUGCUCAACAUAUGGGCUGCCGGGAAUACUGCAAAGCUAGGAAGUGGGAGAGGUAGACGGUACUCCGUAGGAAGGGGUAAAAUCCUUUGAUCUAUGGAUGACCACCUGUGGCGAAGGCGGUCUACCAGAACACGUUCGACGGUGAGGGAUGAAGCUGGGGAGCAAACCGGAUUAGAUACCCGGGUAGUCCCAGCUGUAAACUAUGCAAACUCAGUGAUGCAUUGGCUUGUGGCCAGUGCAGUGCCGCAGGAAAGCCGUUAAGUUUGCCGCCUGGGAAGUACGUACGCAAGUAUGAAACUUAAAGGAAUUGGCGGGGGAGCACCACAAGGGGUGAAGCCUGCGGUUCAAUUGGAUUCAACGCCGGGA
rnacentral:rRNA from 1 species